rnacentral:rRNA from 1 species
GACGAACGCUGGCGGCGUGCUUAACACAUGCAGGUCGAACGAGAAUCUGUGGAUUGAGGAUUCGUCCAAAUGAAGCAGAGGACAGUGGCGGACGGGUGAGUAACGCGUGAGGAACCUGCCUUUCAGAGGGGGACAACAGUUGGAAACGACUGCUAAUACCGCAUAACGCGUAGAGGUCGCAUGGCCUUUACGCCAAAGAUUUAUCGCUGAAAGAUGGCCUCGCGUCUGAUUAGCUAGUUGGUGAGGUAACGGCCCACCAAGGCGACGAUCAGUAGCCGGACUGAGAGGUUGAACGGCCACAUUGGGACUGAGAUACGGCCCAGACUCCUACGGAGGCAGCAGUGGGGAAUAUUGGGCAAUGGGCGCAAGCCUGACCCAGCAAUGCCGCGUGAAGGAAGAAGGCUUUCGGGUUGUAAACUUCUUUGUCAGGGACGAGUAGAAGACGGUACCUGACGAAUAAGCCAACGGCUAACUACGUGCCAGCAGCCGCGG